AAACAUGUCUACAUGGGUAUAAUAUUAAAUGUAGUCCAGCCUGCCCACUGAAUAUAAAUUUUAAAGGGCCGCGGUACACUGACCGUGCUAAGGUAGCAUAAUCAAUAGUCUUUUAAUUGGAGACUGGAAUGAACGGCUAGAUAAAAAGUUUACUGUCUAUAUAAUAAAUCUUGAAUUUUACUUUUAAGUGAAAAGGCUUAAAUAUAUUAAAGUGACGAUAAGACCCUAUAAAACUUUAUAAUAAAUCAUGAUUAUCUUAAAUUUUAAAUCAAAAUAUAUUUCAUAUAUUACUAUUUAGUUGGGGCGACUGAGAUAUAAAAAAUCUGUCUUUAGUAAAAAAUACUUAUAAUUAGAUCAAGAUCCUUUAUUAAGGAUUAAAAGGCUAAGUUACUUUAGGGAUAACAGCGUGAUUUUUCUUAAGAGUUCUUAUCGACAGAAUAAGUUGCGACCUC
rnacentral:rRNA from 1 species